CCCCAUCCCAUGCGGUCUUCUGCAAUGUGAUUUUGCCCCCCCAAUCCCCACCCACCCAUCAGCAAGUGACAUCUACUUGAUCUCCUAGAAUCUUGGUGGGCCUGUGACUACAAGGACCAGAAGAAUAUGGUAGAAGUGGUUUCAGUUCUGGAAUCAACCCUCAACCAGUCAGGUGGCUUCUGCUUCCUUUUUUGGACCACUCAAUUUUGCGAUGCUCCCUCUGAGAAGCCAGCCAACAUGCUGUGACAUGCACAACCACACGGAGAGACCCUGUGGAGGCACUCUUGGCAACUGCCAGCUUCAACUGUCAGUCAUGGGAGGCAACCAUCUUGGAUGCCCAGCCCAGUGGAGCCUUCAGGUGACUGCAUCCCAGCCACCAUCUGACUGCAACCUCACCAGCAAGCCCACAGGAGAUCCACCUAGCUGAGCCCAAUCAACCCACAGAAACAUGAAAGAAGAUAAAUUGCGGCUUUGAGUCACUGAAAUUUGGGGACAUUUAUUAUGGAGCAAUAGAUAACCAGAUACCCCUCUUCUAAUUUGUCAUGUAUGUGAACCAGACCAGACCUGGCCACUAAGUGAGUAACUGUCUCCAUGAAGGAACCAUUAGAAAUGUCCUGCUUUUCUUUGGGUCUCCAUUUUCCCAUCUGGGAAAAAAGAGGUAGGGCUAGAUCAGCAGUCACAGUCUAGAGUCUAUGAUGGGUAGUCAAUAGUUAGAAACAAUAUUUCUAAAAACCUGAUGAAAGCCACACAUUUACAUGUGAUGAAGCCACUCUGGCUAACUAAAAACCAAGUUUCCUUGUUUUGGGUUGAAAUUACAUCAACUCCGUGUAUCAGCACUGUUCCUUCUGCUAGUCAGAAGCUGGUUAGCAGUCCCAGAUGGCUUUGAUAGCUAAAAAUGAAAUAAAGAAUUAAAUGCUGCUUAGUUCAUGCAGUUUGUUCAGCAUAGAAAAAAAAAAUUUUUUAACAUGAGCUUCUCAGCUGAGAAAGGAAUCCUCAAGCAAAAAAAGAUGGUAAUGCCUGGGAAACAUGACCUAUAAUAAUGUUAAUAGCUAUCACAUACUGACCACUUACUAUCGACUAGGCCAUAUACUGUGCUGAGUGAGUCACAAGUAGUGGCUCAUCUGAUCCUUCAAAUAACCCAUGAGGUGAACACUAUUUUUUUUUAUUUGACAUAGAAAAACUGAGGCACAGAGAGGCAAACUACCAUGUGUAAAGCUAUACAACUAGGAAACAACGGAAAUGACAGAGCCAGGAUUAAAACCCAUCAGAUUAUAAAGCCUACAUAGUACUACCUUUUAAAAGUAUAUAUUUGUAUCUAACUCAAAUUAAAUGUCCCCUAAAAUUGUUCCUUCCACCUUUCCUCCUUAUAAAUAAUAUGUGUCGAGAAGACUGUUGGCGUUUGAAUAGUAGUCCAGGCCUUGGUCAUGGCAUGAAGAAGUGAGACUGUGUGUUUCACAGGACUGGCCAACAUCACUGGAGAAUGAGCUCUCACACACUGCCUUAUGGGGUACAAAUUGGUAGCAACCCAUUAGAAACUUGUCUCAACAUUUAAUAACUUUGAAGAUGUGACUAUACCAUGUCCUAGCAAUCUCAUUCUUAGGUAUAUGCACCAGAAAACCUGAUGCACAUGUAGCAGUACUUACGUGGAAGUUUAUCACAGCAUGUUGGUUAUAGCAAAAACUCAGAAACAACCUCAACAUCCAUCAACAAGAAAAUUAAAAGUAACUGCAAAUUAUUGUCAUUCAAGGAAUUACCACAUUUUAAAAUGAAUCAACUAGAAAUGUAUGUUUCAACAUGGAUGCAUGUCAAAAACAAUAUUAAAAGAAAAAGGUAAAUUGCAAAAAGAUACAGUAUGACUCCAUUUCCAUAAAGCUAUACAAUAUGUAAAUUUUAUAUUUGGUUUAUACAUGCAUAUAUAUGUAAUAAAUGUAAAAGCAUUUGGGGAAGAUCACAGUUAGCUCUGGGAAUGGAGAAAGAUGGGGAAAGCCAC
rnacentral:lncRNA from 10 species